rnacentral:pre_miRNA from 1 species
CGGGGGAGGCCGAUCCUGGGCUGUGUCCCCGGCGCCCUGUGCUCCCAGGUCUGCGCUGUUGGGUUCGCCCUCCAGGCCCCGCAGCCCCCU